rnacentral:rRNA from 1 species
GUGUUGAUUACGUCCCUGCUCUUUGUACACACCGCCCGUCGCUCCUACCGAUCGAGUGUUUAGGUGAAAUUGAUAGACGUAAGGAAGUCAAAUAAACCUGAGACACUUAGAGGAAGGAGAAGUCGUAACAAGGUUUCCGUAGGUG